GUACGUGUGAAGAACAUGCAAGAUUGUUGCAUAGAUGAAGACAAAGGUUUGGAGAUUUAGGAAGCUUGCUCAAUAUCAUAAUGUUGAGGAACCAGCCUCCUUGGUUGCUUCUGAUUGUAAACUAGCUGUGAGAAGGGCACCACUCUGCUACAAAAGCAAUCUUAGAAAUUAACCAGCACAAAGAUCAUCCAUGACUAAUUCAUUUGGAAGGAGUGCAUUUUUAUCAGAGAGACUGAAAAGCCUUUGAGAAUCAGUUAAAAAAAAGGAAUGCUCAUGAGAGUCACAGAUGUCCUCCUUGCCUAAUUCCUCCAACCUGAAGAUCUCUUAGAUCCUAAGAUUCCUGAAAUCUAAAUAUAUUCCCUCGCUUUGUACUACAUUAGUUGGCUGACUUGAGAGACACCAUAGUAAACUGAUUAAGAGCAAGGCCUCUGGUGCCAGACUGCCUGGGUUCAAAUUCCAGCACCAUAUCUUAAUAGCUGCAUGACCUACAGCAAAAACAGGCACUUGGAUGAAGUCCUGAGAUGGAUGCAUAUAAACCCAAGUUUCAGGGUAAAAGUUUGCUGAAGUGACCCCAUCUGGGCAGAU